AAUCAACGCUGGCGGCGUGCCUAACACAUGCAAGUCGAACGCGAAAGCCCCGAAAGGGGCAAGUAGAGUGGCAAACGGGUGAGUAACGCGUGGGUGACCUGCCUUCGAGCGGGGGAUAACGUUCCGAAAGGGACGCUAAUACCGCAUAACAUCCUGCCCUUGAACGGGUGGUGAUCAAAGCUGGGGAUUCGCAAGAACCCGGCACUUGAAGAGGGGCCCGCGUCUGAUUAGCUAGUUGGUGAGGUAACGGCUCACCAAGGCAACGAUCAGUAUCCGGCCUGAGAGGGCGGACGGACACACGGGACUGAGACACGGCCCAGACUCCUACGGGAGGCAGCAGUGGGGAAUUGUUCGCAAUGGGCGCAAGCCUGACGACGCAACGCCGCGUGGAGGAUGAAGAUUUUCGGAUCGUAAACUCCUGUCGAAUGGGACGAAUAGAUUGCGGGUUAACAGCCCGCGGUCCUGACGGUACCGUUAAAGGAAACCCCGGCUAAUCC
rnacentral:rRNA from 1 species